rfam:Conexibacter woesei DSM 14684, complete genome.
GCGGGUGUGGUGAAACGGUAGACACGCCGGCCUUAGGAGCCGGUUGGCCAGGUAGAGGCCUUGGGGGUUCGAAUCCCUCCGCCCGCA